UUAACUAUUAUAUAGUACUCAGACGACAAUAACAAAGAGUUGGGUCCUCUGGCAGGCACUCACCAGCAAGAGCCGGUAGGCUGAAGUCAGCCGGCCUGCCAAAGCAACAAAGGUAAGUUCACAUGGGUGGGAGAUCUACCCGUAAGGGCAUGAACUCUGUAAUGAUCCCUCCGCAGGUUCACCUACGGAGA
rnacentral:misc_RNA from 1 species